CCGGCGCACGGUGAGUAACACGAUCCAACCUGCCGUCUACUCUUGGCCAGCCUUCUGAAAGGAAGAUUAAUCCAGGAUGGGAUCAUGAGUUCACAUGUCCGCAUGAUUAAAGGUAUUUUCCGGUAGACGAUGGGGAUGCGUUCCAUUAGAUAGUAGGCGGGGUAACGGCCCACCUAGUCAACGAUGGAUAGGGGUUCUGAGAGGAAGGUCCCCCACAUUGGAACUGAGACACGGUCCAA
rnacentral:rRNA from 1 species